UCCCGUUUAGCUCAGUUGGUAGAGCGCGUCACUAGUAUGGGGUGCGUCAUUCUCAGCGCAAUGACGAGGUCAGUCGUUCGAGUCGGCUAAUGGGAA